CCUCGGAGAGUUUGAUCCUGGCUCAGGACGAACGCUGGCGGCGUGCCUAAUACAUGCAAGUCGAGCGAACAGAAGGGAGCUUGCUCCCGGAUGUUAGCGGCGGACGGGUGAGUAACACGUGGGUAACCUGCCUGUAAGACUGGGAUAACUCCGGGAAACCGGAGCUAAUACCGGAUAGUUCCUUGAACCGCAUGGUUCAAGGAUGAAAGACGGUUUCGGCUGUCACUUACAGAUGGACCCGCGGCGCAUUAGCUAGUUGGUGGGGUAAUG
rnacentral:rRNA from 1 species